rnacentral:rRNA from 1 species
UUGAGAGUUUGAUCCUGGCUCAGAAUGAACGCUGGCGGUAUGCUUUAUACAUGCAAGUCGAACGAUUCUUCUUGAAUAGUGGCGAACGGAUGAGUAACGCGUGAGAAUUUGCCCUUAGGUGGGGGAUAACAAUUAGAAAUGAUUGCUAAUACCCCAUAGGCUGAGAAGUUAAAGAAUUUCGCCUAUGGAUAAGCUCGCGUCUGAUUAGCUAGUUGGUGGGGUAAUGGCUUACCAAGGCAACGAUCGGUAACUGGUUUGAGAGGACGACCAGUCAUACUGGGACUGAGACACGGCCCAGACUCCUACGGGAGGCAGCAGUAGGGAAUUUUCCGCAAUGGGCGAAAGCCUGACGGAGCAAUACCGCGUGGAGGAAGAAGGCUUUUGGGUUGUAAACUUCUUUUCUCAAGGAAGAAAAAAUGACGGUACUUGAGGAAUAAGCACCGGCUAACUCCGUGCCAGCAGCCGCGGUAAUACGGGAGGGGCAAGCGUUAUCUGAAAUAACUGGGCGUAAAGCGUUCGUAGAUGGUAUUGUAAGUUAAUUGUUAAAGCUUAAAACUCAAUAUUAAAAAAGCUUUUAAUACUGCUAUACUUGAGUUUUUUACAGAAAAGUAGAAUUUCACGUCGAGAAGCAACGAUCUUAAACACGUGAAGGAAUAUCACUAGCGAAGGCAACUUUUUAGUAAAAACUGACGUUGAGGGACGAAAAUGUAGGUAGCAAACAG